AACAGGGACUCAAUUGCUAGGCCAGAAUGGAUAGUUUCUGCACCAAAUACAUCCUUUAUUCCUAGAAUUCAAGUCUUGAUACUCUUUUCAUACCCUAUGGCAAAAAGGAUUAGAAGGACAGAUGAGAAUGUAAGGAAGUUUUCAACCAUAAAAUCCUCAGAAAAAUAGAAUAAAAUAAGCAUUCAGUGAAUACCAUCUAGAUAUGUUAUUUUUACCCAGAAAAUAGAGAAUUGCUUACUUCUGCAUGUCUAGUGAAUAUAUUUUGGAUAAAAUUUUACUGUUUUUGUCACCAUCACAACUGCUACUCCUGUCAGAUUCCCUCCUUUUACUAUCAUCUACCUAGAAUUAUCCAGUUUAGGAGCAAAUAUAAUCCAUUUCCCAACAGGUUUCACAUUGUCAGCAGAAUAGCAUGAUUGAAAUCUUGUGCAUGAAUGGUUCUUCACUAUAAAACUGCCCCAGUUUCUUUCUCCCAAGAAAAAAGAACCAGCUUCCUACUUCAUAUGUCUGCAUUCAUAUCUUACCCCAGACAAAAGCCAUUACAUCAAGAUCAGUUUGUUCAUACAUUUAGAGAAUUAAAUUUAAGGAAAGGGUGAAAACUAUUGUAUUGUCUAAGGUGGGUCAUGAUCAUUAAGGCCCCUAAGUCUCAACUUCUAAAUCCAUAUGGUCCAAAAUGAUGCAAAGCACAUGGCUGCCAUGGCUUCUUCUCAGCUGCACUCCAAAGGGAAAGUCCAGGGAAUGUCUGAGGGAUCAGGGUUUGGAUGUAGGGUGGGGGCUGGUUCAUUGCACAGUGCUCUGUGAGCAUUCAGGCUUUGCCCUGGUAUGACUGAAUCUGUCAUAAUCAACUCAUAGUGGUAAAGGGCAUCAUCUGAUCACAAGUUUACAAAAAAAAACAAGAGAUGAAAUAACAGAUGCCCACAGUACACGUAAGAGCUGCUCUGGAGCAAAGCAGAAGGCUUGGGCAGGGUGAUGAACUCUUCAGAAAACAAUGCACAGUUCAAAACUGUGGAUGCAAGAGUCACAGUCAACGUGGAAAAAAUAGGUUGCAUUUCCCUGUUAACAAAUAAAUCUCCUUGGUAUGCACUGGAAAGCGUUUCAUUUACUCAGAAAGAGCAACCAGACUCCAAAGAAGAUCUUGCUGAGGUAGAAACAGACUUGUGGGGACACAGCACACAGGAAGCUCAAAUAAAUCAGAGAGGUGCUGCUUCACUCCUUACAUGCCACAGCUGUGCCACAACAAUGCAAAAAUUUUCUAAGUGUAUGGAAAAGGGGAAAUGGACACAUAAAGCUUGUGAGAAAAAAAUAGUCAUAGAACUGUAGAAUCAUAGAAUGUCCUGAGUUCUAAGGGACCCAUAAGAAUCAUUGAGUCCAUCUGCUGGCUCCACACAAGACCACUCAAUAUCAGACCCUAUGACUGAGAGUGUUGUCCAAAUGCUCUGGAUUCUUUCUUAAGACAGUCUGCUCCAUAACCUUCCCUAGCACCGAGGUCAGGCUAACAAGCCUGUAGUUCCCCACAUACUCCUUACAACCCCUCUUGUAGAUGGAGGCCACGUUGGCAAGCCUCCAAUCCUCUGGGACCUCUUUAGUUGACCAGGAAUUCUGAUAAAUGGUGAAAAGUGGCUUGGCAAUGAUCUCUGCUGGAUCUCUCUGUGCUUUCAAGUGGAUCUCAAUUUAAACUUUAAGGACAACAUCACAACAUAUUCUAUUGGAGACCAGAGCAUAAAAAGAGAGGAACAGUGACAGGCAUCUGCUGAAGCCAGAAAAAUCUCUUGCUAGUGGGGUACUGGGUUGAACUAAGGUAGCAGAUGGAUCUUCAGAGCAUCUCCAAUUUGCUUUCAUUCAAAUGUUCUGCAUGGGAAAUAACCGGUGUGUUAAGCAAUGCUGCUUGUUGCUUGGAUGAACGCACCACAUUAUGUCGAAGAUAAAUAUGCAUAUAUUUCUAACACAACUCGACAACUUUCACAGCACAUGAAGCAGUGAUGAAGAAACUUCAAUUAACAUUUAAUAUGGAAUAAAUCAGAUCAAUAUCAGUGUGAAGUUUUGCUGGUGCAUUUACUAUUCACUGGAUUAAAUUUACAUGGAAACCAUAUUAUGGUACUUAUCCUUCACCACAUGAAUUAUACAAAGACUUAUAUCCCCUGAUGUGAUAUUUUGAACUGCUCAAGUAACACUGAUGACUUUAUUGAGUAGAGAUGAAGGCCAAAGAGUUCCAGAGGUGACCAGCAUUUUCUGGUAUACCAAUUCCGACACCAAGUUCGGUAUGUCUAAAAAGGGCUUGACCCCAUGCAGUGUACCGAGUCUGCUCAUGUCCAAGAAGAAAUCAGGCUCCCCCAUGCAAGACACGGUCUCACCUCAUAAACCAAGGCACCCAGAUUCAUCAGCAAUUUCAAAAAUCAUCUGGACCUAAAAUAAAUAGGCUUUAAAAUAAGAAGAUGAGUCUGAAACAAAAACUAUAAAAAGCCUGGCAAAGAAAUCUGCACUCAAGUAUUGUCUUCCUUCCAAGUGUGUGUCUGCAUGGAUGUUUUUCUUUGGAGAUGAGCUUUUUUUUUUUUCCUCUGAUUCUCAGCACUUAGGAAAGCUGCCAGCAGCCAAGGAGCAUCCUCGUUUCACAUGCUUACCUUGAACUUUAUUUGAUAGCGCCUAAACUAUUACAUAAUUUGGUUGGAUUAGGAGGAGUGCACUGCAGCAUUGCAUCAUUACCUGAAUUUAGUUGACCUCUAGGGAAAAUGCACUUCUGACAUCUCAAUCAAUCCAGCCUUGUGAUUUUAGCUCUGGCAUGAGAGAUGCCAAGGGAGGCUCCAAUACCACAGCACAGGCUGAGCUCUCGUGCAGAAUCUUUCCCCUGAGAGAAGGUGAUGGAUGAUGACCUGCUUGCGUGACUUCUGCAGCAGCCUUGUUUUCCUCAAGGUGACCAGUCCCAGCACAGGAGAGAGAUGCAAAUGCAGCAGUCAAGCAGCAUGGGGAGAGGCACAGGAAGAGAAUGGAAGAGGAAGAGGAGGCUGUUGGCAUGUGAAGUCAUUUUUAAACAGGACAAGAUCUUAUAUUUAUUAGGACAAGACUUCACAGAGAAGUGUGAUUCAGUGGAGCAGGCUGAAAUGAGUGGAGCGCAGAGAAGGAGCAAGACUUCUGCUGUGUCAUCUGCAGAGCCUCCAUGGGAUGCAACAGCUGUAAAAUGAAGAUUCAUGGCAUCCUGAACUCACUGUGAGUCAGAGCUCAUGUAGCAAGCUUUGCUCUGCUAUUGGCUCCAAAUGAACCCUUGUUGGAAUGGGCUGGAUGGAGAAAGAACCUAGAGGAAUUGCCCAAGAACUCUGCAAUGAUAGUAUUGAAAAUAAAUGUGGCAAAAUAUUCCUUGAAAAUUGCCUGUUGGAGAUUUAAGUUCUAACUGAUAAUUUAAAAAUAUUCUGAAAUUAGUUUUUACAAAGCCCAGUAGCCCAAUAGCACACGCCACAGUGUUUUAUAAUUAAAAAUGCUACUUAUCCAGGUGCAUGUGUCUGUAAGAUGCUUAUAGAAGCAAUUAAUUAUUUACUAAACCUGUAGCUGAAAUAUAAUGAAAAAUUCAUAGAAAGCAUGACCAUAAACAGACUAAGCUAGGAAGCACUUCAGGAGAUGAAUUAAAAAGAAAACUAAAAGUACUUCAUUUCAGGCCGUGCAAGCACCUUUUCACCCACCAGCUCAUGCUGAAGAAAGGAAAAGAUCUUUUAUUCUAUCAGUUAGGAUAAAAGUUUACAGUUUGCCAUCAAAGAGAGAAGAACCCCAUCCCUCUGGAAGCAUUUUCUUGAUGGCAUUAGAUAACUUUGCAAAGAGUAAUCAAUUUAGAGAACCUUUAAAAUUAUUUACAGAUCCUACUGCAUAGCCAGUAACAUUCCAGCACUUUGUCGUAAAAUAACUUUCUCUAGUAAAGUGUCUCGUUUUCACACAGCACUCUCAGGUAUCCCCACAUUAUGGUAUGUAAAGUUACUUCACCCAUUCUCUAUGGCACAAUUAAACCAUGUGAGUUCCCAUCUAAUGGCUUAAAGGGAUUGUUUUGUUGUAUAUAAUCUAAUUUCAUUUCAACAGCAGGUAUGAAUUGUAAAAGUCUCAGGAUUUACUAUGCAAAAUUAGGUGAAAACCUGCCCAUAGCAGGGGGAUUGGAAUUAGAUGAACUUUA